rnacentral:rRNA from 1 species
GACGAACGCUGGCGGCGUGCUUAACACAUGCAAGUCGAACGAAAAGGCCCUGCUUUUGUGGGCUGCUCUAGUUGCCAACGGGUGAGUAACCCGUGAGUUCCGUACCCUUGACUUUGGGGUAAGUUAAGACAGGUGAGGGUAUUCCGGGAUAGGAUCUCCUGCUUCUUGGUGGGGGUUGGAAAGUUUAGGCGGUUGGUAGUGUACUCGCGGCCUAUCGGGUUGUUGCUGGGGUAGUGGCUUAGCAAGGCUUUGACGGGUAGCCGGCCUGAGCGGGUGAGCGGCCACAUCGGGACUGAGAUACGGCCCAGACCCCUACGGGAGGCAGCAGUGGGGAAGAUUGCACAAGGGGCGGAAGCCUGAUCCAGCAACGCCGCGUGCGGGAUGACGGUCUUCGGGUUGGAAUUCUCAUGCGCCUUUGACGAAGAGGGAGUGACGGUAACGGGUAAAGAAGCACCGGCUAACUACGUG